rnacentral:tRNA from 1 species
GCGGGUGUAGCUCAAUGGCAGAGCUCUAGCCUUCCAAGCUAGUGAUGAGGGUUCGAUCCCCUUCACCCGCU